CUGCUGGCGCUCAGUGAUGACGUCACAAUUACUGGACUAGGAGUCCACACGUGUGCUGCGCGCUGACAGCUCGUGACUAGAUCUGUGGACCUCCAUGAUGCUGAGGCUGAGGGCUGGGAAGCUGAUUGUGGCGGGGGGCAGCCGCCUGCUGGGGGGCAGGAUCAGGUCCAAGGACUCGUUCUUCAUCUUUGAUUGUGGUGAUCUGGAGCAGAGACUUCCAGCUGAAGGCAGACAGGACCCGCCCACCAUCGCCUCGGAUAAGAUUCUGGCUGCCGCUUUCUCAUCUUCUGGGGACUAUUUUGCUUUGACCGAUGACAGUAAAAGACUUGUUCUAUUUAGGACGACUCCGACCUGGGAGAAGAUCAGUAUCAGGUGGGUCUGUCGUCGCUGCACCUCUCUGACCUUCUCGCCAUGUGAGCGCCGCAUCCUGGUGGCGGAUAAAUCUGGAGACGUUUUCUCGUUCUCUGUGCAGGCUGCACAGGAGGAAGGACACCUGGAGCUGGGGCACCUCUCCAUGUUACUGGACCUGGUGGUGACUCAAGAUGGACAAUAUAUUAUCACCUGCGACCGUGAUGAGAAAAUCCGUGUCAGCCAGCGGGGGGCGCCGCACGUCAUCACUGCCUUCUGCCUAGGACAUACAGAGUUUGUCUCACAGCUGGCGUCUGCACAGGAGAAGCUGCUGCUGUCUGGAUCGGGGGAUGGGACACUGCGGCUCUGGAGAUACGAGACGGGACAGGAACUUCAGAGGUUUACCAUCGGCAGCAUUGAGAGGCCUGAAGAUUCCCAAAAUGAUACCCGAGAGAUCAAGAGAUUUGCUGUCUCCAGGAUCUGCUGCAGUGGAGAACAAGUGGCCGUCCUGUGUGAUGGCAUUCCUGGGAUCUACUUGUUCUCAAUUUCUACCAGUCCGCACCUCACCCACCAGCAGUACGUCGCCCUCCCGUAUGUUCCCGUGGACAUGGAUUUUGAGGACCUGACCUCCCUUUGGGUGUUAUUGUCUGUCAAGGAAAACCCUAUAGCGCUCCUCCAGUACAGAGAGCAGAGAUGGAAGCCGGUGCCACUAGACGACCGCAUGAAGGAGGUGUCAGAGACCAUCAGAAAGAACUGGGAGCAAAUGGAAGGAUCGGUGACCCUGGAGAACCGCUUCAGCGCUUUAUAUAAAGCCGUAGUUGACAACAUGGCCUCCUACCUGCAGAAGAAGGAAGCGCGGAUCCAGACCGAGAAAAGGAAGUCCUCAACCGGGCAAACAGCAGCUGCUGCCAAGAUUCAGAAGAUGUGAAUCGGUGCUUGCUCCUCCCUCCAGAAGGCAACAGGUCACAUGGGACAGUAUAAGGGUCAGAGGAGGGCGAGGGGCUAGGGAUGUACUGACUGAUGAAGAGCGUCCUAGAGAGUCCCGCCUCUGACCCUCCGAUCCCCGUUGUAUCCCGCCUCUGACCCUCCGAUCCCCCGUGUAUCCCGCCUCUGACCCUCCGAUCCCCGUGUAUCCCGCCUCUGACCCUCCGGUCCCCGUGUAUCCCGCCACUGACCCUCCGGUCCCCGUGUAUCCCGCCACUGACCCUCCGAUCUCCCGUGUAUCCCGCCUCUGACCCUCCGAUCUCCCGUGUAUCCCGCCUCUGACCCUCCGAUCCCCGUGUAUCCCGCCUCUGACCCUCCGAUCCCCCGUGUAUCCCGCCUCUGACCCUCCG